rfam:Triticum aestivum genome assembly, contig: Triticum_aestivum_CS42_TGACv1_scaffold_435470_5DL
UAUAUACUCCCUCCGUCUUGAAUUAGUUGUCUCAGAUUUGUCUAGAUACGGAUGUAUCUAAAAACGUGUCUAGAUACAUCCGUAUCUAGACAAAUCUAAGUUAAGUAAUUUAGGAUGGAGGUUGUAGUUC